rnacentral:lncRNA from 1 species
AACACUGUACAUUAUAAAGCCACAUUUCUCAAAUUAGCCGGAGGGAAGUCUAAGCAUAGGGACAGACAAGGAUGGCUAUUACAUGUAGCUGAAUUUAUACAUGGCUCUACAGUGAAGAUCAUGGCCACUGGGCCCAUCACCUUCUGGCAAAUAGAAGGGGAAGAAAUGGAGGCAGUGAGAGAUUUUACUUUCUUGGGCUCCAUGAUUACUGCAGAUGUUGACAGCAGUCACGAAAUUAAAAGACGCCUCCUUCUUGGGAGAAAAGCAAUGACAAACCUAGACAGCAUCUUAAAAAGCAGAGACAUCACCUUGCCAACAAAGGUCCGUAUAGUUAAAGCUGUGGUUUUCCCAGUAGUGAUGUAUGGAAGUGAGAGCUGGACCAUAAAGAAGGCUGAUCGAAGAAUUGAUGCUUUUGAAUUAUGGUGCUGGAGGAGACUCUUGAGAGUCCCAUGGACUGCAAGAAGAUCAAACCUAUCCAUUCUGAAGGAAAUCAGCCCUGAGUGCUCACUGGAAGGACAGAUCCUGAAGCUGAGGCUCCAAUACUUUGGCCACCUCAUGAGAACAGAAGACUCCCUGGAAAAGACCCUGAUGUUGGGAAAGAUGGAGGGCACAAGGAGAAGGAGACGAUAGAGGACGCAAUGGUUGGAUAGUGUUCUCGAAGCUACCAGCAUGAAUUUGACCAAACUACGGGAGGCAGUGGAAGACAGGAGUGCCUGGCGUGCUCUGGUCCAUAGGGUCACGAAGAGUCGGACACGAUUAAAUGACUAAACAACAGCAUACAAGGGAUACCUACUAUGUCUACUCAGUCCUGCUGUCUAGACUCUAUACUGAAUUAUAUGUUCACAGCCCAAGGGCCUGACUGAGUGAGCAAGCUGCUCUAAUGUCCCCAGUGGUGCUUUGCAGACAAAGCUAAAUUUCUAGACCGCUAUUGGGCUAGCUGCAGUGAUGUCACAGAGGAGCCUGGACCUGGGAAUUGAAAUACGAGGAUAAACUGAGAGGGAAUGUCUUGGCAUUGGAAUUUCAAGUCCACGGGCUAAUUUUAGUGCCAAUAAACCCUUUCACCUUUGCCUGUAUGAUGUAGGCUUCCAGAGGACACCUCAGUGGUGCAAAUCAACUGAAGGGAGUAUACGGUGCCCAGAAUGUGACCUCAUAAUGCAUUCUGCCAGACAAAUUCCAGUAAUGUAUAUAGGAGUGACAGAGGUUCCUCAAAUGCUCUGAGAGGGGCCAGGGCAGGCUAUGAAGCUUUCAAAGUGGGCAUCGCCUCUCCAUUUCACAGCUUCUCAUUCCUUCCCCUCCCCACUAAUCCCAGAAGUGCUUACAUUGGAUGCCCCGGGAUAGCCCCCCUUGUGAACCUGGCUAGGUUGCUUGAAUCCUGGGGGUGGGGAGAUAGGGGGGCCAGUAAUGAAAUCCACACGUUCUUCCCCAAUUCCUCCUUACUUUUUAUCAAAUCACCCACCCACCCCCUGAACCCUCCUUAAAGUAGCUAAGGGACAGAAGCUUACAAAGAACGGCAUACAAACCCCGUCUCUCCCAUCAUGAAAGGAAUCGGAAGGAAUAUUGUUUGUUGUGAACUGUUUCCGAAAUCUUUUCUUGACAGAACAUACAUGAGUUGAGUGGAAGAAGACUCAUGGCGGCAUGAGACACCCACCGCAGGUAGCUUAUUUUGGAUGUCAUGGAUUAUCGGCAAAUGACUGGUUAUUUAAGUUAUUGUUAUUUUAAUUUUCUUUCCAGGGUCAGGGGAGAGAGUUGCUUGUGGGGUUUUCUGCCUCAAAUUCCAAAAUACCUUUAUCAACUUUCGGUACUAUGCGUCUUGAUUUGGUGUGUUCUUUUGCCAUUUACUCAUCUGUAGCCCUCGGGGAGAAAAUGUCUUGCACAGGCCCUAACCAUAACCAAAUUUACAUGUGUGUGUGUG